rnacentral:rRNA from 1 species
UACGAAGGGGCUAGCGUUGUUCGGAAUCACUGGGCGUAAAGGGCGCGUAGGCGGCCUGAUAAGUCGGGGGUGAAAGCCUGUGGCUCAACCACAGAAUUGCCUUCGAUACUGUUAGGCUUGAGACCGGAAGAGGUAAGUGGAACUGCGAGUGUAGAGGUGAAAUUCGUAGAUAUUCGCAAGAACACCAGUGGCGAAGGCGGCUCACUGGCCCGAUACUGACGCUGAGGCACGAAAGCGUGGGGAGCAAACAGG